rnacentral:lncRNA from 1 species
ACUAGAUGGUCAGCAUUUCCGGAUACCUCCACCACGGUGUGCCUCGCAAUCAUAUUGUAGGCUUGC